rnacentral:misc_RNA from 2 species
UCGUAACAAGGUUUCCGUAGGUGAACCUGCGGAAGGAUCAUUACAGAAUGAAAAGUGCUUAACUGCAUUUUUUCUUACACAUGUGUUUUUCUUUUUUUGAAAACUUUGCUUUGGUAGGCCUUCUAUAUGGGGCCUGCCAGAGAUUAAACUCAACCAAAUUUUAUUUAAUGUCAACCGAUUAUUUAAUAGUCAAAACUUUCAACAACGGAUCUCUUGGUUCUCGCAUCGAUGAAGAACGCAGCGAAAUGCGAUAAGUAAUAUGAAUUGCAGAUAUUCGUGAAUCAUCGAAUCUUUGAACGCACAUUGCGCCCUUUGGUAUUCCAAAGGGCAUGCCUGUUUGAGCGUCAUUUCUCCCUCAAACCCUCGGGUUUGGUGUUGAGCGAUACGCUGGGUUUGCUUGAAAGAAAGGCGGAGUAUAAACUAAUGGAUAGGUUUUUUCCACUCAUUGGUACAAACUCCAAAACUUCUUCCAAAUUCGACCUCAAAUCAGGUAGGACUACCCGCUGAACUUAAGCAUAUC